rnacentral:lncRNA from 1 species
AAAGAUCGCCUACUUAGAAGAAACACAAAAAGGAAGUUGGUGUAAGGUAGGGAAUUUUAUGUUAUUCUAUGGUGUAUCUGAUUUCUUUCCUGGAAUUAUUUGUUGGAAUUUUAUGUUAUUUCUAUGAUUUCAUAAAAUCUUUUAAAGUGUCAUUGCAUCUCGGUUUAUUGCAUUGAAAUGUUACCAUGAUGUUGGAACGUAUAUUGGAAUGAAGAUUCGUGGUUUUGUGUUGUCGAAAUGGUUUAUGGUGUGAUUGCAUUGCAAGAAGGAUAUGGAAUUAUCACAGAUCAUAUUCAGAGAAUUUAUUGGUGGCGAAGUGCUUAUGUGAUGCUACAGGCCUUAUCAUUUGAUAUAUUGUUUAUGUGGGACCGUGGGUCCUUGGGUGAAAGUCCCUAAAGCCCUCGAGGAAGACACUUCGAUGUGGGUGUAUGGGGUUGGUCCUGCCCCUGGGUUUUAGUCCCUAAAGACACGGGGUUGGUCCUGCCCCUGGGUUUUAGUCCCUAAAGACACGGGGUUGGUCCUGCCCUUGGGUAUGAGUCCCAAAAGACACGGGGUAUGACUUGCCCUUGGGUGAUGUCCCAGAAUAGUCAUUAUUAUAUUGAUCGAGUAUCUUGUGGAGCAUUGAUAUCUGCUGUGUAGAUUGUUGGGAGUCAGCAAAUUAUCAGUUGUGAAAGGAUGGAUGGGGAAAAGCAAUGAUGAAACCAACAAACACGUGCAUACAUGUUUGAUAUGAUUACACAUUUGUUAAUGGUUAUGAAAUGUUUAUCAUGCAUGUUAUUAAACGUUUAAUUCAAGGUUUUUAAGGGUAUACUUAGGAUGGUUAUAAACUUUCCUACUGAGUUGUGAACUCACCCUAUCCCUUCCACCUCUAGAUGCAGGUCAGAAGACCUAUGCAGGAAAUAAUGCUUGAGCAAUGCUUUACUGUGAUUGGAUGCUGUUUGCUCAUAUUGAAAGUCUUUUGAGGCCAUGCCUUUUGUAUCAAGACUAAACCUUUUGUUGGAAUGAUGCAAUGUAUAUAUUUGUCAGAUACACUUGUAGUAUGGGCUACCCGUAGUAAACAAUGGAGUUUGGUAUAUAUAAAUUAAUGUUGUACAAGUUUCUUUUGUGAAACAAAACAUAUUUUGUUAACUUAAUAGUCA